rnacentral:rRNA from 1 species
GAUGAACGCUGGCGGCGUGCUUAACACAUGCAAGUCGAACGGAAAGGCCUCUUUCGGGGGGUACUCGAGUGGCGAACGGGUGAGUAACACGUGAGUAACCUGCCCUUGACUUUGGGAUAACUUCAGGAAACUGGGGCUAAUACCGGAUAGGAGCUCCUGCUGCAUGGUGGGGGUUGGAAAGUUUCGGCGGUUGGGGAUGGACUCGCGGCUUAUCAGCUUGUUGGUGGGGUAGUGGCUUACCAAGGCUUUGACGGGUAGCCGGCCUGAGAGGGUGACCGGCCACAUUGGGACUGAGAUACGGCCCAGACUCCUACGGGAGGCAGCAGGGGGGAAUAUUGCACAAUGGGUGGAAGCCUGAUGCAGCAACGCCGUGUGCGGGAUGACGGCCUUCGGGUUGUAAACCGCUUUCGCUCAUGACGAAGCUUUGUGUGACGGUAGUGGGUAAAGAAGCACCGGCUAACUACGUG